rnacentral:lncRNA from 1 species
GCCACAAAAUAAAUUUUUAUAUCUUUCUCUUAUUAAUCUGCCUGCUGUCAAUUUAUUUCAUACACUUAAUUAUCAAACCCUCAGAGGGCAGAGGGAGUCUUCCCUCCCCUACAGUUCCAAUCAGAUUGUUUUCUAGUUAGCAUGAGGGUUGAUCUAAGAUGUCUGGUCUACCAUUACUGAAAAUAAUUACUAAAAAUAGAAUCAAUGGUAUAGUAUUUGUUAACAUGUUUUAAAAAUAUCAAUAACUAAAUUAUCAUAGGGCUUCCAAUUCUUAAAAUCUUCAAAAUGCAGUUGUAUAAAAUGAUAUAGAUCAGUGCCGUCAUACUCUCUGGUCCAGGGAUGGGUUUCCCAUAUAAAUAAUUCAAAUUCUCACUAACGAUGUUUAAGUUAGGAAAUUAGUUGCCAUGUUGGUUCAGUUGUGUAUCACCACCAAAGAAGUGAGUUGCUAAAUUAAAUAUAAAUAAAUACUUAGCCAUAGAACUAGAGGAAAAGAUUAAACAAUGUAUUGUUGGAUCAAGAAAUCAUGUUUCAAAAUUUAAAUCAAUGACUUUUAUAGUUCAAGUGUCUGUGAAGUCUAAAAUAAAAAUACAGACAUUAAUUGCACUACCUUAUUGGUAGAAGAAAUAGCAAGUACCUUAAAAAGUGCAUGUCAUAUUGGAAUCAAAUCUCUUGAAGGCUAGGCUAGUGGUAAAAGAAAUAGUAGGUACCUUAGAAACUACAUGUCAUAUUUGAAUCAAAUCUCUUGAAGGCUAGGCAAUUCAUCUUGACUAUAUUUUUGUCACCAAAGAGCUUAAUAUUGAACCAUCAAAAUAUAUUCACUUUACCAUCUGGGACAUUUUAAUCAAACCUCUCAUCUGUUCAAUCACAUCUUUCACUUCAGAAAGAACUUUCACUUCUGCCUUGUUUUUCAGAACUAUCUAUAGCCACCACUUUUCACAUUAAGAUGAUCCUUCUCAAGCCAUCAGAGAACUAAGUGACAUCUGCAAUGAAAUGGCUUCACCACUUCUGUCCUCGGGAUAAAAGGCAAAUAAAAAUCUGUUCUUAGAGAACACUGGACAAAUUCUCUUUGUGAGGGAGGAUCAAGCAAUUUCACCAUAUCAUCAUCACACAAUAACUUUUGCCUUUCCUGUGGGAAACAAGC